AUAAAGGAGUUGCCUUUCUCUAUUCAAACCUCCAAUAAGAUCAGGCUAAUGAAAGGAACAUCAGAAUGGUGGAACCUACUGAAAUGGGAUAACAACAACUUCAAGUCAAAUUUAGAGCAUUGUUUCCUAAAGAAGUAAAACUGAUGACAGGGAACUAAAAAGGCAGAGGAAGGAACUUCUUGCACCAGAAAGACAGAAUUUCGAGCUAAAGUUGAUCAGUCGAGUUUGCUGUGAUGCCACUGUUCCUUGUUUGAACUGGUUGCGUUUUCUGAUGCUUGGAUUUUGAUUGCUUGAUUGUA
rnacentral:lncRNA from 1 species